rnacentral:rRNA from 1 species
GUUUGAUCCUGGCUCAGGAUGAACGCUAGCGGGAGGCCUAAUACAUGCAAGUCGAACGGUAAGGUUCCUUCGGGAAUACACGAGUGGCAAACGGGUGCGUAACGCGUACGAGACAUACCUUUAUCAGGAGGAUAGCCCCGGGAAACUGGGAAUAAUACUCCAUAGUAUUAUAAAGUAGCAUUACUUAAUAAUUAAAGCUCCGGCGGAUAAAGAUUGUCGUGCGUCCCAUUAGUUAGUUGGUGAGGUAACGGCUCACCAAGACGAUGAUGGGUAGCUGGUUUGAGAGGAUGAUCAGCCACACUGGUACUGAGACACGGACCAGACUCCUACGGGAGGCAGCAGUAGGGAAUAUUGGACAAUGGACGCAAGUCUGAUCCAGCCAUCCCGCGUGCAGGAUUAAGGCCCUCUGGGUUGUAAACUGCUUUUAUUAGAGAAGAAAACAUUAGAUUCAUCUAAUCUUGACGGUAUCUAAUGAAUAAGCACCGGCUAACUCCGUGCCAGCAGCCGCGGUAAUACGGAGGGUGCAAGCGUUAUCCGGAUUUACUGGGUUUAAAGGGUGCGCAGGCGGUGAUUUAAGUCAGUGGUGAAAGCCUACAGCUCAACUGUAGAACUGCCAUUGAAACUGAAUUACUUGAGUGUGGUAGAGGUAGGCGGAAUAUAWCAUGUAGCGGUGAAAUGCGURRWUAUGUUAUAGAACRACRAUUGCSAAGKCARCUUAMUAACYCAUUACURAASYKCAGGCCUGAAAKCGGGURGAGSKAGGCGGAWUAKAUMAUGUGGCRGUSMAMKSCMUAGAYRWGUUAYASAACACMGAUUGCGAAAGCAGCUWRYKWMMMMRUUACUGACGCUCAGGCACGAACKCGKGGAGWACGAWCAGGAUUAGUKAMACUGGUAGUCCACGCCCUAAACGAUGUUCACUCGAUAUUUGCGAUAAACAGUAAUUGUCCAAGCGAAAGCGUUAAGUGAACCACCYGGGGAGUACGAUCGCAAGGUUGAAACUCAAAGGAAUUGACGGGGGUCCGCACAAGCGGUGGAGUAUGUGGUUUAAUUCGAUGAUACGCGAAGAACCUUACCUAGGCUCUAAUUCUAUGUGCUACAUCCCGAAAAGGAUGGUUUCUUCGGAACGCAUAGGAAGGUGCUGCAUGGUUGUCGUCAGCUCGUGCCGUGAGGUGUUGGGUUAAGUCCCGCAACGAGCGCAACCCCUGUCUUUAGUUGCCAGCGAGUAAUGUCGGGGACUCUAAAGAGACUGCCUGCGCAAGCAGUGAGGAAGGAGGGGAUGACGUCAAAUCAUCAUGGCCUUUAUGCCUAGGGCUACACACGUACUGCAAUGGUAAAGACAAAGAGUAGCUACUUGGCGACAAGAUGCCAAUCUCAAAAACUUUAUCUCAGUUCGGAUUGGAGUCUGCAACUCGACUCCAUGAAGCUGGAAUCGCUAGUAAUAGUAGAUCAGCAAUGCUACGGUGAAUACGUUCCCGGACCUUGUACACACCGCCCGUCAAGCCAUGGAAGCUGGGUGUACCUUAAGUCGGUAACCGCAAGGAGCCGCCCAAGGUAAAACUGGUAACUAGGGCUAAGUCGUAACAAGGUAGCC